rnacentral:rRNA from 1 species
UACGUAUGGAGCAAGCGUUAUCCGGAUUUACUGGGUGUAAAGGGCGAGUAGGCGGGAUUGCAAGUCAGAUGUGAAAACUAUGGGCUCAACCCAUAGCCUGCAUUUGAAACUGUAGGUCUUGAGUGAUGGAGAGGCAGGCGGAAUUCCGUGUGUAGCGGUGAAAUGCGUAGAUAUACGGAGGAACACCAGUGGCGAAGGCGGCCUGCUGGACAUUAACUGACGCUGAGGCGCGAAAGCGUGGGGAGCAAACAGG